AAGAGCUUUCACUCCACACUUGCCCACACGUUUUGCCUCCAAGCUUCCAAGCUUUCAAGUGCUCUAGUGUCCUAGCUUUCCAAAGCUUCAAAAGCUCUCCAACUUCUUCUUCAAAUCUUCUUGUUCAUCUUUACAAGUAAGAAGUGUUGUUUGCUUUAAUAUUCCACUCCUCUAAUCACCUCUUGUGUGUGUCCACUUUGGUUGAGAGAGUUGUCUCAAUAGUACCAAAGUGAGAGAGAAGGUUUGUGAGCUCAACCAUAAAGCUCUAGUUUGGUUUUAUAGAGUUUCUGAAAAAACUCUUAGGUUGAGUCUACCUUUAAAGAUUUCAAAGGUUUUUAAGAGUUCCUUGAUACUCUAAGGUAUUAACUUACCCGUAAAAGUUAGAGGUUCUUAAGAGUGCCCUUGAUACUCUAAGGUGUGAGUCUACCCGUAAAAGACUGGUUCCUAAGCGAAGUAGCCUUAAAGCUUAGAGAGGUUUCUAAGAGUUCCUUGAUACUCUAAGGUACUAACUUACCCGUAAAAGUUAGAGGUUCUUAAGAGUGCCCUUGAUACUCUAAGGUGUGAGUCUACCCGUAAAAGACUAGUUCCUAAGCGAAGUAGCCUUAAAGCUUAGAGAGGUUCUUAAGAGUUUCCUUGAUACUCUAAGGUUUUGCCAUUACCUUUAGGCGAGUGAAUUCCGGCAGUUGGUCGGG
rnacentral:lncRNA from 1 species